GUCAACUGGACUCGGAGAAGUUCUGCUUUUGCUUAAAGUUAAGACAAACUCUGAGCUUGUCAUCCUGCUACAGAUUCCACCCUACCCCACAGGAUUCAAGUUUUUGAGGACACAAUUUAAGCUCCAUUACUUACAUCUGGAGAGCUGCGUGUCUUUUUAUCACUAUCCUAGAGUAACUAAUGGAAACAGCUUCAGGAAACAGACUUAAAGAUGGGUUUCAUCGAUUGGAUUGAAAAUAUAUUUGAGAGCAUUGGAGAUAUCAUUCUUGCUGUGAGAGAUGGAAAUAAUACAUGUUGUGUGUUGGCAACAUGGUUAUUCAAAUAAUUACUGGUGGAAGCAUGAAAUAAAAGGAUGAAGAGAGAAACCCAAGACAGAGAGCAGGAUUGAAGAUGAAUCUGCAUAAACAAACUAUACUAAAAUAACCCCUGUCCUACUCCAUUUGUGCUGCUAUAACAAAAUACCAGAGACUGGGUAACUUAUAAAGAGCAAACAUUUAUUUCUUACAGUAUGCAAUCUGCAAAGUUUAAAAUCAAAGUAUCAGCAAAAUUGCUGUCUGGAGAUGGCUGCUCUCCACUUCCAAGAUGGAGCCGUGUUACUGCAUCCUCAGAAGGGGAGAAAAGCUGUGUCCUCAUGUGAUGGAAUGGAUGGAGGGGCAAGAAGUGUAAGCUCUUUCUGAAGCCUCUUUCAUAAGGGCAUUAAUCUACUAAUGAGGGCAGAGCUCUCAUGACUUAACCACUUCCCCUUAAGCCCCACCUCUUAAUAAUACCUAAGUUUCAACAUAAAUUUUAGAGAGGACACCACAUUCAACUCAUAGCAGACGUUAUGUUUUCUUAGUUUCCCCAUAUGUUUUCUUGUCAUUUUCCUAUAAUUUUUAGCCUUAGAAAAUCAAGUCCCUUUCCUUUGUCUAGACAGCUCUCCAUAAUUUACUGCUGUUUGUUAAAAUGGU
rnacentral:lncRNA from 1 species